UACAGAGGGUGCGAGCGUUGUUCGGAAUUAUUGGGCGUAAAGCGCGUGUAGGCGGCGAAAUAAGUCGGGUGUGAAAUCCCUCAGCUUAACUGAGGAAGUGCGUCCGAAACUGUUUUGCUUGAGUGCCGAAGAGGGUGGCGGAAUUCCCCAAGUAGAGGUGAAAUUCGUAGAGAUGGGGAGGAACACCGGAGGCGAAGGCGGCCACCUGGGAGGUAACUGACGCUGAGACGCGAAAGCGUGGGGAGCAAACAGG
rnacentral:rRNA from 1 species